rnacentral:misc_RNA from 1 species
GAAAUAAAACCAACAAUUUAUUCCUUUAUCCAAUCUCAUCUCAGAAUGUAUAAGAGGGGUAACUUGGGUAGCCAAGACACAAGGUUGUUAUGAACAACAUGUCACUUUUCCUUGACGACAUAUAUACAAAUCCUUGACGAUGUGCACGUUUCGUUCACGACCUAGGCACGGUUUCUUGACGACGUGGCACGGUUCCUUGACGACCUAGUCACGGUUCAUUAACGACGUGGCAUGCUUCCUUGACGGCCUAAGCAAGGUUCCUUGACCACGAACAAAAACAACACCACGUUAAGAGAAGGUAACAGUUAGGUGGUCUCAAACUACGAAAAAAGCAUGUUACUUCGUUUUGGUUACGAGUAAUCAAGACUCGAACCAUCCCAAGUCUCAUCCCGAACACUUUGUUCAACCAAGUGUCGGGGAACUACCAUGUAAAGAUUCAUGGAUAUGUCGGGGAACUACCAUGUAAACAUUCCUGGGUAUUCGGUGUAAUCACCCACGUCACCACGGGGAAUCGUGUAUAAAAGGUACGGUCAACGUUUUGACCCGACGAGCAUCAAGUCAUGACGCCAAACCACCAUAAAUAGGCUCGAGAUAGACAACUUAAAGUAUGGUGGAGUUUACAAAAAAAGUUUGAGAUCGUCACAUGAAAUAUCAUCCCGUGGCUGUCUCGGGACGAUCGAGCGUAGCCGCGGGCCCACUUGACCCGAAAACUGAAUUUCAACAUCUAGCCUCUUUUCUAUACAUAACGAGUGCAAUGUAAGUUCGUGCAAUUCGACGUCGUUGAUGGGCUUCAAAAAUUAUGCAUUAACUUCCAUGUCUGUUCUGUCACUUACUUAGCCGAAUUAUAUAUUGACGAGGAUAGCUCUCUUGGACCAGGCCGCCCCAAAGGGAGGGUAUAU